rnacentral:rRNA from 1 species
UACGUAGGUGGCAAGCGUUGUCCGGAUUUAUUGGGCGUAAAGCGAGCGCAGGCGGUUCCUUAAGUCUGAUGUGAAAGCCCACGGCUCAACCGUGGAAGGUCAUUGGAAACUGGGGAACUUGAGUGCAGAAGAGGAGAGUGGAAUUCCAUGUGUAGCGGUGAAAUGCGUAGAUAUAUGGAGGAACACCAGUGGCGAAGGCGGCUUCCUGGACUAGACCUGACGCUGAGGCGCGAAAGCUAGGGGAGCGAACAGGAUUAGAUACCGC